rnacentral:rRNA from 1 species
UACGUAGGGUGCAAGCGUUUGUCCGGAAUUAUUGGGCGUAAAGAGCUCGUAGGCGGUCUGUUGCGUCGGCUGUGAAAACCCGGGGCUCAACCCCGGGCCUGCAGUCGAUACGGGCAGACUAGAGUGCGGUAGGGGAGACUGGAAUUCCUGGUGUAGCGGUGAAAUGCGCAGAUAUCAGGAGGAACACCGGUGGCGAAGGCGGGUCUCUGGGCCGUAACUGACGCUGAGGAGCGAAAGCGUGGGGAGCGAACAGG